AGUCGCAAGACCGCGAGGUUUAGCAAAAUCUCUUAAAGCCGUUCUCAGUUCGGAUUGUAGGCUGCAACUCGCCUACAUGAAGUCGGAAUCGCUAGUAAUCGCGGAUCAGCAUGCCGCGGUGAAUACGUUCCCGGGCCUUGUACACACCGCCCGUCACACCACGGAAGUUGGGGGCGCCCGAAGCCACUUAGCUAACCCAUUUGGGAAGCGAGUGUCGAAGGUGAAAUCAAUAACUGGGGUGAAGUCGUAACAAGGUAAC
rnacentral:rRNA from 1 species